rnacentral:misc_RNA from 1 species
UAGAACAAGAGAAACCAAAGGGAGUCAUGUAAUUAUGAACAACCCUGGUUAAAAUUAUUCAACCAGUAAAUCACAAGACCACCAACAUGAAGUCAUCUGUUUAUAAAUUAAUACAAAAAAUAAUUGAAAUUCAUCGAAGGUUAAAUGGAACACAUCUCUGCAACAUUUUCUAUAUCUUCAUUUUGUCCCUUUUUUCUCACCCAAACCAGGAAGGGAAUAUUUUUUAAAGAAAUUGAAGAAAGAACAGAAAACCUGCAACCUUACAAAAUUUCAUAGCUAUGAUUGACAUUACUUUCGUAUGCAAUGCCAAUCAUUUUCAGAUAAUUACACGUUCCAUGUUGGAAAAAAAAUGAUAUCAUUCCCUCUCAAUCAAGUCUAAGGAAUGAGGCCCAUUCUACUUGCAGUUGUUUCCCAAUCCUCUAGAGAUCCCAGCAUCUGAUAAUGUGUCCCAGACUUCCAGUUUGCCCUUUGAACCUCCUAUAGCAAGCAAGAAAGGACUAUCCUCUGAGAAGGAAAUAGAAAAUACGGCUCCUGCUUUAGGAUUCUUCGAUGCUACACAUGAUGGUUGGUUGUUUGACAAAUCCCAAAGUUUUACCUGCACAAAAUAAGCUGCAGCGUUGAAACUACAUGAAGCAUUUCUAAACCGCCAGCUAGAAGGAAGCCUGCAAAAGUAGGGAUAGCAAUUGUUCCUGACAUGCCUCAACCCGCUUCACACUUGAUCAAUUUUCUCCAAUUGCACCUUGAUCCCGAUAUUGUAAGGGGCAAAGUCCCUGCCCUAAUUAGAAAUGGCGUUGAAGACAGAGAUGCCCACAUUAGGCACAGAAGGAUUAUAGGAGACUGUGCAAACAGCUUUGUCAUGUGCAUGGAGGGUAAAACUUGGCUUUGAAUCUGAAGUUGAAUCAGACUUAGCAGCCCAGAUGUCAAAACCUUGGACUGUACCAUCUUCAAGACUCACCUAAUAGAACAGACAAGUUUCCAUAAGUUCAUUUUAGAGUGAGACCAAGCACAAAUUAAUUGCAUCUAUUACAAACUUAUGGCACAGUGAUAGAUUUUCCUCCCUUCUUUCUUUGCUCACAAGAACAACAGGAACUCAAAACUGUAGUAAGAUAACCCUAAAUGAAAUGAUGAACCACACACCACAAAUGAGUGAUUAGAAUGCGGAUCCCAUGCCAAGCUUUCAACAUCAGCUGUGACAGAGCACUUAAAACCAGGAUGUGUAGGUAUCCUCCCAAUAAGAGUAUUACAAUCAAAACAGAGCAUCUCCAUCCAAAGCAAAUACGCAACGUCCCCACUCCAACUCAAAAUUUUAAGUGCUCAAGCUCUCUAUUUCUGAGUUCUAGUAACAACCAAUGUUAAGACAGCAAAAUAAGCAUAAUUCAUAUUACCAUGACUACUGAAUGAUCAAAAGAUCCACUGAGAAGAACUUGUGGCUCAUGACGAUUCCAUGCAACUGCUUGAACCUGUAAGCAGUAGUACAAACGAGAAAUUUUUAACCAUAUCUAAAAGAACUACUGAUAUAAAACAUCCAGAAGUCUGCCUGUAUUAUAAAGACCAGUAAAGAUUGUUUUAUAAAAGAAUAAAUCUGGAGGAAUUCUAAAAUUGCCUGCUUUUAUUUAAAAUUGUCUCCAAAUAUUGAAAGACAGUUUAUAACUUAGGCGAUUAAGAUUAUCUUAGAAACAGUUGCACAGAAAUACUGGCACACUCUCUCUCUCCUUCUUUUUUCACUCAGCAAAGUUGGUGUGUGUGUACAUAUAUAUAUAUAUUACUCAUGGUUUAUAAAUAUAUUAGUCAUGGUUUAACAACGUUCUAAACUUUGUAUUUGACUGAGGAAUGGACUCAUGUCCAGUUCUGUAACCACAUGCAGGUUAGCCUAUGCAUAGCUGCAUGCAUAGUUUCUAUACUCGAGUUAGGAAAUUUGAUGGGUCAGUAUUAACAUGAGCAGUUUUACAGUCUCAAUAAGUGUGAUAAGAAGCAGAUAGAAAACAAAUGAAUCUGGCAUAGCAAAUGUUUUAAAUAGAUUGUCAAAACAACUAUGUUCAUCUUGUCUGUAUGAUGCUCCAUGGU